rnacentral:rRNA from 1 species
UACGUAGGGUGGAAGCGUUGUCCGGAAUUACUGGGUUUAAAGGGUGCGUAGGCGGGAUGGUAAGUCGUAGAUGAAAUGGCCGCGUUUAACGUGUGCCACUGUCUGCGAUACUGCCACUCUUGAGGGAGGUUGAAGUAGCUGGAACGAGUGGUGUAGCGGUGAAAUGCUUAGAGAUCACUCAGAACACCGUUUGCGAAGGCAGGCUGCUGGACCCUUUCUGAGGCUGAGGCACGAAAGCGUGGGUAGCGAACAGG